UCCACUAAACACACUGUGCAUGCUCCCCUC
rnacentral:piRNA from 1 species